GACGAACGCUGGCGGCGUGCUUAACACAUGCAAGUCGAACGCUGAAGCUCAGCUUUUGUUGGGUGGAUGAGUGGCGAACGGGUGAGUAACACGUGAGUAACCUGCCCCCUUCUUGGGGAUAACGCCCGGAAACGGGUGCUAAUACUGGAUAUUCACUGGUCUUCGCAUGGGGGUUGGUGGAAAGGGUUUUUCUGGUGGGGGAUGGGCUCGCGGCCUAUCAGCUUGUUGGUGGGGUGAUGGCCUACCAAGGCUUUGACGGGUAGCCGGCCUGAGAGGGUGACCGGUCACAUUGGGACUGAGAUACGGCCCAGACUCCUACGGGAGGCAGCAGUGGGGAAUAUUGCACAAUGGGCGCAAGCCUGAUGCAGCGACGCCGCGUGAGGGAUGGAGGCCUUCGGGUUGUGAACCUCUUUCGCUCAUGGUCAAGCCGCAACAAUGGUUGUGGUGAGGGUAGUGGGUAAAGAAGCGCCGGCUAACUACGUA
rnacentral:rRNA from 1 species